rnacentral:rRNA from 1 species
AUUGAACGCUGGCGGCAUGCCUUACACAUGCAAGUCGAACGGCAGCACGGGGGCAACCCUGGUGGCGAGUGGCGAACGGGUGAGUAAUACAUCGGAACGUGCCCAGUAGUGGGGGAUAACCAGCCGAAAGACUGGCUAAUACCGCAUACGACCUACGGGUGAAAGCGGGGGACCGUAAGGCCUCGCGCUAUUGGAGCGGCCGAUGUCUGAUUAGCUAGUUGGCGGGGUAAGAGCCCACCAAGGCGACGAUCAGUAGCUGGUCUGAGAGGACGACCAGCCACACUGGGACUGAGACACGGCCCAGACUCCUACGGGAGGCAGCAGUGGGGAAUUUUGGACAAUGGGCGCAAGCCUGAUCCAGCCAUGCCGCGUGCGGGAAGAAGGCCUUCGGGUUGUAAACCGCUUUUGGCAGGAACGAAACGGCGCAAGCCAAUACCUUGCGCUAAUGACGGUACCUGCAGAAUAAGCACCGGCUAACUACGUGCCAGCCGCCGCCGUAAGAC